UCCGGAGGGGGCUAUCGUUGUUCGGAAUUACUGGGCGUAAAGGGCGCGUAGGCGGACCUGCAAGUCAGAGGUGAAAGGCCUGGGCUCAACCCGGGAACAGCAUUUGAUACUGCGAGGCUAGAGUCCGGGAGAGGAUGGCGGAAUUCCCAGUGUAGAGGUGAAAUUCGUAGAUAUUGGGAAGAACACCGGUGGCGAAGGCGGCUAUCUGGCCCGGUACUGACGCUGAGGCGCGAAAGCGUGGGGAGCAAACAGG
rnacentral:rRNA from 1 species